AGUGAACGCUGGCGGUAGGCCUAACACAUGCAAGUCGAACGGCAGCACAGUAAGAGCUUGCUCUUACGGGUGGCGAGUGGCGGACGGGUGAGGAAUACAUCGGAAUCUACUUUUUCGUGGAGGAUAACGUAGGGAAACUUACGCUAAUACCUCAUACGACCUACGGGUGAAAGCAGGGGAUCUUCGGACCUUGCGCGAUUGAAUGAGCCGAUGUCGGAUUAGCUAGUUGGCGGGGUAAAGGCCCACCAAGGCGACGAUCCGUAGCUGGUCUGAGAGGAUGAUCAGCCACACUGGAACUGAGACACGGUCCAGACUCCUACGGGAGGCAGCAGUGGGGAAUAUUGGACAAUGGGCGCAAGCCUGAUCCAGCCAUACAGCGUGGGUGAAGAAGGCCUUCGGGUUGUAAAGCCCUUUUGUUGGGAAAGAAAAGCAGCAGGUUAAUACCCCGCUGUUCUGACGGUACCCAAAGAAUAAGCACCGGCUAACUUCGUG
rnacentral:rRNA from 1 species